AGUCAAUACUGCCUCGGGACCUGGCGCUGCCUGGGAGAUCCAGAAGAAAGGAAGCAUCUUGGCCCCUGCCUUGGGGGCGACACGACCGUCCCCAAACACAGCGAGUCACUGGCCUGGGUCUUUGUGCAGAGGCCCCUCUAGGAGCGGGGAACCAACGAUGGCACGAACAUUGAUUUGAGGAGGAUGCUUCGCAGUUUACGAAGUUCUGUCAGGUGAGCUGUUGUGCUGUAUGUCUGACCUGAAUUGCCUUUUAGGAGGGAAUCAGUACUUGGAAGCUGGAAU
rnacentral:lncRNA from 10 species